AGAGUUUGAUCCUGGCUCAGGACGAACGCUGGCGGCGUGCUUAACACAUGCAAGUCAAGGAGAACGAGAAUCUUCGGAAUCUCAAGUAAACUGGCGCAAGGGUGCGUAACACGUAGGCAACCUGCCCUAGAGUGGGGGAUAACAUCGGGAAACCGGUGCUAAUACCGCAUGACAUUUAAAUAGUGCAUACUGUUUAAAUUAAAGAUUUAUCGCUCAAGGAUGGGCCUGCGUCCUAUUAGCUUGUUGGUAAGGUAAUGGCUUACCAAGGCGACGAUGGGUAGCUGGUCUGAGAGGAUGAUCAGCCACACUGGCACUGAGACACGGGCCAGACUCCUACGGGAGGCAGCAGUGAGGAAUAUUGGGCAAUGGGCGAAAGCCUGACCCAGCAACGCCGCGUGGGUGAUGAAGCACUGAGGUGUGUAAAACCCUGUUAGGAGGGAAGAAUAUUCCGAUUUAUCGGAACUGACGGUACCUCCAGAGAAAGCUCCGGCUAACUCCGUGCCAGCAGCCGCGGUAAUACGGGGGGAGCAAGCGUUGUCCGGAUUUACUGGGCGUAAAGAGAGUGUAGGCGGGGUGGUCAGUCAGUGGUGAAAACUUGCGGCUUAACCGUAAGCUUGCUUCUGAUACUACCACUCUUGAGUACGGAAGGGGGAAGCGGAAUUCCUGGUGUAGCGGUGAAAUGCGUAGAUAUCAGGAAGAACACCAGUAGCGUAGGCGGCUUCCUGGUCCGUUACUGACGCUGAGACUCGAAAGCGUGGGGAGCAAACAGGAUUAGAUACCCUGGUAGUCCACGCCGUAAACGAUGGGCACUAGGUGUUGGAGGUUUCGACCCCUUCAGUGCCGAAGCAAACGCAUUAAGUGCCCCGCCUGGGGAGUACGGUCGCAAGGCUGAAACUUAAAGGAAUUGACGG
rnacentral:rRNA from 1 species